AUUGAACGCGGCGGCAUGCUUUACACAUGCAAGUCGGACGGCAGCACAGAGAAGCUUGCUUCUUGGGUGGCGAGUGGCGAACGGGUGAGUAAUAUAUCGGAACGUACCGAGCAGUGGGGGAUAACUAAUCGAAAGAUUAGCUAAUACCGCAUAUUUUCUGAGGAAGAAAGCAGGGGACCAUUUGGCCUUGCGCUGUUUGAGCGGCCGAUAUCUGAUUAGCUAGUUGGUGGGGUAAAGGCCUACCAAGGCGACGAUCAGUAGCGGGUCUGAGAGGAUGAUCCGCCACACUGGGACUGAGACACGGCCCAGACUCCUACGGGAGGCAGCAGUGGGGAAUUUUGGACAAUGGGCGCAAGCCUGAUCCAGCCAUGCCGCGUGUCUGAAGAAGGCCUUCGGGUUGUAAAGGACUUUUGUCAGGGAAGAAAAGGACAGGGUUAAUACCCCUGUCUGAUGACG
rnacentral:rRNA from 1 species